UAAAGUAAAACUGACAAGUAGUGACGCGAUUUCGCCAAGAAAAACAAUAAUGGAGGCGUGUAAUGUCGUUGAACGUGAAGUUGACAAGAUUUUAUUAAAAUUUGGCGUAGUAAACGAACAUGCAGAGACAGUACUACAGGAUCUGAUAAAUCACAUUGAAUCUUUAAAAAAGGAAUUUGCAGAAGCACCAUCUAAUCAUGAAUUAACGCCAGGGCAAGUACAAAUAUUAAAAGAAGCAAUGAAAAAGGUUUGCGAAACUGUGCAUCGUUUAACCACAGAACAUAGAGAGUUACAUGGUUCCGUUUCAAAAGUUGGGAAAGCGAUAGACAGAAAUUUUACAGCAGACUUUGCAAGUACAAGCAGGGAGGAUGUUUUUUCAGGCCCAGAAAAAUCACAUUUACUAAAUCAAGUUAUUUGUCAGCACUUUUAUCGUCAUGGUAUGUUGGAUAUUGCAGCAGAAUUAGCCACAGAAGCUGGAAUUAAAACUGACGAAGGUACAAAGGAACCAUUUACAGAAUUAAAUUAUAUAUUGGAUUGCUUAAAACAGAGAAAUUUGGAGCCAGCACUUGAUUGGGCUAAGAAACAUAGGGAAGCACUUUUGACACAAAAUUCUUCUCUCGAGUUUAAGCUGCAUAGGUUACAUUUCAUAAGACUGAUUCAACAAGGGCCUAGUAAACAAACGGAAGCAAUAACUUAUGCUCGUCAAAAUCUUACGCAAUACGUCGGACGUCAUGGAAAAGAAGUGCAAGCAUUAAUGGGCACACUACUUUAUUUACCAAAUGGAAUACAAUCUUCUCCUUAUAGUCACUUAUUGGAUCCUACUUUAUGGCUGGAUAUUCACGAUGUAUUUACAAGAGAAGCUUGCACAUUAUUUGGCUUAAGUGUGGACAGUCCCCUUUCUGUCUGUAUUAACGCGGGUUGCACCGCGUUACCAACACUUUUAAAUAUUAAGCAAGUUAUGCAACAAAGACAAGUGAAUACCGUUUGGAAUGGAAAAGACGAAUUACCUAUCGAAAUAGACCUUGGCAAAGAAGGUCGUUAUCAUUCUGUUUUCGCUUGUCCAAUCCUAAGGCAACAGAGCACAGAGAAUAAUCCACCAAUGAAAUUAGUCUGUGGACACGUUAUUUCGAGAGACGCGUUAAAUAAACUUACCAACGCAAACAAAUUGAAAUGUCCAUAUUGUCCAGUAGAGCAAAAUCCAGAGGAUGCUAGACUUAUAUAUUUUUAGAGUACUGUGAUAUAAUAAUGCGAAUGAUUUAUAACGCUUAAGCCAACGGGAAGGAUACUUGGGUCGAAUCAUCGUAUGCCGCGAACUUGGAUGAUAAAUUAUAAUUUGGAUGAAAAGAAGAGAAUGAAAAUGGAAAAGCUGGCAAAUCGUUGCCGAUUAACAAUGAAGUUAAGAUUCCGUGAGCAUCGAGUACACUCCGUUAUAAUUGCUUCUUAAAUACAUACGAAUAUGUUCUAUAUUUACAGAAAUGUAAUCCUUAAUGAGAAUAUAUAUCGCCCUGUAACAUUA